rnacentral:sRNA from 1 species
AUUUUGAAGCGGAGAGGAGGAGGAACGGCAGGGCUGGCUGCGGAAGGGGGGGGGGGAGAAGGCGAUUGGAUGCGGCGGCGGCGGCGGAUCCCGGAGAGCCCCGGAGUGAGAGGAGUAGCGAGUCGGCAACCCGGAGGGGUAGAAAUAUUUCUGUCAUGGCUCAUUCAAAGACUAGGACCAAUGAUGGAAAAAUUACAUAUCCGCCUGGGGUCAAGGAAAUAUCAGAUAAAAUAUCUAAAGAGGAGAUGGUGAGACGAUUAAAGAUGGUUGUGAAAACUUUUAUGGAUAUGGACCAGGACUCUGAAGAAGAAAAGGAGCUUUAUUUAAACCUAGCUUUACAUCUUGCUUCAGAUUUUUUUCUCAAGCAUCCUGAUAAAGAUGUUCGCUUACUGGUAGCCUGCUGCCUUGCUGAUAUUUUCAGGAUUUAUGCUCCUGAAGCUCCUUACACAUCCCCUGAUAAACUAAAGGAUAUAUUUAUGUUUAUAACAAGACAGUUGAAGGGGCUAGAGGAUACAAAGAGCCCACAAUUCAAUAGGUAUUUUUAUUUACUUGAGGUAAGCAAUAUCUUGUAUCUUGAG